UACAGAGGUCUCGAGCGUUAGGCGGAAUCACUGGGCGUAAAGCGCACGUAGGCGGAUGUGUCAGUCAGGGGUGAAAUCCCGGAGCUCAACUUCGGAACUGCCCUUGAUACAGCACGUCUUGAGUCCGGAAGAGGUGGGUGGAAUUCCUAGUGUAGAGGUGAAAUUCGUAGAUAUUAGGAAGAACACCGGUGGCGAAGGCGGCCCACUGGUCCGGCACUGACGCUGAGGUGCGAAAGCGUGGGGAGCAAACAGG
rnacentral:rRNA from 1 species